UAUUGGACAAUGGGCGAAAGCCUGAUCCAGCAAUGCCGCGUGAGUGAUGAAGGCCUUAGGGUUGUAAAGCUCUUUUACCCGGGAUGAUAAUGACAGUACCGGGAGAAUAAGCUCCGGCUAACUCCGUGCCAGCAGCCGCGGUAAUACGGAGGGAGCUAGCGUUGUUCGGAAUUACUGGGCGUAAAGCGCACGUAGGCGGCUUUGUAAGUUAGAGGUGAAAGCCUGGAGCUCAACUCCAGAACUGCCUUUAAGACUGCAUCGCUUGAAUCCAGGAGAGGUGAGUGGAAUUCCGAGUGUAGAGGUGAAAUUCGUAGAUAUUCGGAAGAACACCAGUGGCGAAGGCGGCUCACUGGACUGGUAUGACGCUGAGUGCGAA
rnacentral:rRNA from 1 species